GAUGAACGCUGGCGGCGUGCCUAAUACAUGCAAGUCGAGCGAACAGAUAAGGAGCUUGCUCCUUUGAAGUUAGCGGCGGACGGGUGAGUAACACGUGGGUAACCUACCUAUAAGACUGGGAUAACUUCGGGAAACCGGAGCUAAUACCGGAUAACAUUUAGAACCGCAUGGUUCUAAAGUGAAAGAUGGUUUUGCUAUCACUUAUAGAUGGACCCGCGCCGUAUUAGCUAGUUGGUAAGGUAACGGCUUACCAAGGCGACGAUACGUAGCCGACCUGGGAGGGUGAUCGGCCACACUGGAACUGAGACACGGUCCAGACUCCUACGGGAGGCAGCAGUAGGGAAUCUUCCGCAAUGGGCGAAAGCCUGACGGAGCAACGCCGCGUGAGUGAUGAAGGGUUUCGGCUCGUAAAACUCUGUUAUUAGGGAAGAACAAAUGUGUAAGUAACUGUGCACAUCUUGACGGUACCUAAUCAGAAAGCCACGGCUAACUACGUG
rnacentral:rRNA from 1 species